rnacentral:rRNA from 1 species
UACGUAGGGGGCUAGCGUUGUUCGGAAUUACUGGGCGUAAAGCGCACGUAGGCGGUCAUUUAAGUCAGGGGUGAAAUCCCGGGGCUCAACCUCGGAACUGCCUUUGAUACUGGGUGUCUAGAGUAUGGAAGAGGUAAGUGGAAUUGCGAGUGUAGAGGUGAAAUUCGUAGAUAUUCGGAAGAACACCAGUGGCGAAGGCGGCUCACUGGCCCGGUACUGACGCUGAAAUACGAAAGCGUGGGGAGCGAACAGG